UAUAAAGAUAGUUUCUCUGUCUUGUCAGGGGCUGGGCACCACAGACAGUGUCCUCAUCAGAAUUAUGGUCGCCAGGGCUGAGAUUGACAUGUUGGACAUUAAGGCUCAGUUCCUGAAGAUGUACGGCAAGACUCUGCACUCCUUCAUCAAGGGAGACACAUCUGGCGACUACCGCAAAAUCCUGCUGGAGCUGUGCGGAGGCGAGUAGCAGAAACAUCACAGCAUCAUCAAGCUCCGUCUUCACUCUGCAGACGACUUCAUGAGUUUUUUUUGCUUGAUGACUUCUCUAUAUUUUCUUCUUGAGCUGCCUUCACAUUUCACCUAUAGACCACAAUGCCUUGCUUUGCUGAUUGCAAUACCAAUUAAACCAAAGUUUUGUAACCUUU